rnacentral:lncRNA from 1 species
UCCUGUUUCAAAUAUAAGAUGUUAUCAGAAUAAUUAAUAACCAGAUUCUUUAUGAAUAUACAAAAAAAUAAAUUUCACAGAAUGUUAAAAUUUCACAGUUAACUAUUGGCACAAGAACCUUAUAAACAGGAUUGAGUUGUCAAUCUAUUACAAGAUCAUAAUUUAUAUUGUACUAGCAGGUAUAGUAAUUUGGACAAGUGCAUGCAAAAGAAUUAGACCUAUUCAUGGACAUAUUCUUAAAUGUAUAUUGAAUGAUGUACAUGUUAAUUUAAUUAGUUAUUUAAAGACUGACAUUUCUCUCCUACAAUUUUGGCCUGUCAAAUGUUAACAAUCAUCUUUUAUAAUCCAGAAACUAAAUAUGACACUGUGCCACUUUAAAUAUCCCUGACUUUUCAAUAGGGAUGAUAUGAAGCAUGACAUUUAAUUUUUAUUUAGAAGGUGAAGGCAUCAAAAUACAUGAAUGAUGUACAUUGUGGAAAGAUGACAAGAAAAUUAAAAUAUGCUUGAUGAAAUAAAAACCUUACAGAAAUG